rnacentral:misc_RNA from 1 species
AAGUCGUAACAAGGUUUCCGUAGGUGAACCUGCGGAAGGAUCAUUACUGAGGAUCAGGGUCCCUCGGGGCCCGACCUCCAACCCUAUGUCUAUGAACCUUUGUUGCCUCGGCGCGUCGCCGGCCCGCCUUCUCGGCGGAUCCGUCGUCGGGCCCCCUUCCACGGGGCGCCUCUCGAGCCCGCGCCGGCGGAUCAAUCAAAACUCUUUUCGAACGAGAUCAAGCUGAACCAAAAUUAUUAAUACUUCAAAA